UACGUAGGGGGCAAGCGUUGUCCGGAAUCAUUGGGCGUAAAGCGCGUGUAGGCGGCCCGAUAAGUCCGCUGUGAAAGUCCAGGGCUCAACCCUGGGAUGCCGGUGGAUACUGUCGGGCUCGAGUCCGGAAGAGGCGAGUGGAAUUCCUGGUGUAGCGGUGAAAUGCGCAGAUAUCAGGAGGAACACCAACGGCGAAGGCAGCUCGCUGGGACGGUACUGACGCUGAGACGCGAAAGCGUGGGGAGCGAACAGG
rnacentral:rRNA from 1 species